rnacentral:lncRNA from 1 species
GUUAAAAUAUUGAUCGGUAGUUUAUUGAUCAGUUGUUGGUGAGAGCAAUAAGCAGAAGGUACUAUAGAUAAUAGAUGAUGAUGUGGGGUUUCUCAUUGUUUUACCGGUUAAAACUCAACCUUGGAAUCAUCUAUCGGACAUUUUUAUUGGCUUUGUUGAUACUCUUGUCACUCAUGACAGUUGCGUACUGUGAGGGAACCCAGGUUUUUCCGGAAAAGCCAAAUUGCAAGAGUGGCACAAGACCGGUCAAAGUUGAAGGAGGAUGGAGAUGUGUUUAAUAAAUCCAGCCUACCGUAUUUGAAACAUUAUCAAUUUUGUGUCGCUUGUGUAAAUCGCUAACCAAAAUACUUAGCAAGUUAGUGUUAAUGGGAGAUGGAGUACUAUAUUGGUGAGCAAGUAAAGGAGGGAAUUAGAGGUAGCCUACUGUAGCCUAUUUGUUUCAAUGUUCAACCGGUUUGAAUUAUAUAUUGGAUUACACUUCUGGGCCUUGACUUUGGUAAUCUCAGUAGUGAUAUUAUCAAGGGCUGAUACAACAAUAAUCAGUGGUGAUCCAUACAAUAUUUUCCCAAUGAAGCCAAAUUGCCUGAGAGGUCAAACUCCAGUCAAAGUGGAUGGAGGGUGGAGGUGUGUUAAACUGCAGACUGCUGAUGCCACAUCCAAUCUACGUAGAAGAGGAUACAAGUUCAAAUGCAGAUAUAAUACGUGUGUGUUAGAUGGUGGAGACGGUGUUAGAUGGUAUUAGUGGGCGUUUGUUGGGGGACCGGUGAGGGACUGCCCCUCCGGCAUGAUGCAUGACAAGAACGGCGUGUGCCGCCCCGUCAGCUCGAAUGCAGUCACCACCCAACCCACCCACAUCAUCAUCAUCAGACCCGAGGCUAAUACAACUCCAGUCAUCAUCACCAGGAGUCCACCGACGACCACUAUGCUCACUCCAAAACGCACCAGGCGCCCCACUUCCAGACCCAGAAUAUCGAGAGUCAGUCCACUCAGCAGCAAUGACAGUAAAAACAAUAAUCAAUAACUGAAGUAAGGCUUCAUAUGGUGACAUAAUGUGAACAUUAUUAUAUUCAUUGUUGGAAAUAUUUGUAGAGUUAAUUAUUUCAGCCUUAAACUAUAGUUGUAUUUUAAAUUUUAGUUUUUCUCACAAUCUAUAAUUAAUUUAGCGUAGUGAUUUUGUGUUUUGUUUCGGUUUUGUAUAUGUUUGGAAUUUUAUCAUCAGAAAGAGCUCUAUUUCGAAGUGGAAAGUGUAAAUUGAAGGUGUUGUGCUUAUUAGGGAACUUUGGACUAUAUACGGCGAGGUGGAACUACCCUUGGGUCUCCCCACCAUUGAAAGCCAUACGGUAAUAAUAAUAAUAAUAUGAUUUAGUAGGUACUCUUCUAUUGGUAACUUAUAAGAUUAACGACCAAACUACCCAUUAGACAUUUUGCAACAAAAAUUGAUCAUACCUCAACUUUUGAAAUUGAUCAAAAUUAUUAUUUCAAUUUCAACUCAAUACCGCAAAUCAAUGUUAAAUUAAUAAUUAAGAAUGUAUGAUGAUUAGACACAUUAUAAAGAUUUGUGAGUAUGAAUAAUUGAAUUAGAUUCUUGUCUAUAAUCUCAUCUCGAUUCAGCGUCUAAUGACUGGAUUUUCCAAAGCGAUCGUAGCAUGGAGUGGGUGAACUUAAAUAAAUUUAUGCAAUAUUUCCAAUAAUCUCCGUAAACAGCCAUUAUCAACAAGAAAAAUAAGCGUGAAUAUUAAUAUCUAAAGGAAUCAACCAAAAAAAAUUCAAUUUUGUAGAUGAAUGUAGGCCCUACAUAUAAUAAUGUAAAGAAAUGUAUGAUAUUCUGAUUCUCACCAAUUCAGAGACUUGAUGAGUUCUACAAGAUCAGUCUAAUCAGUCGAAUAAUUUAUUCGCUUUUCAGCUUUCCAAAGAAGCGCUCUGCUGUUGGUGUGAGACUAGCGUUAUAGUGAAAGGAAAAGCUUACUCGAAAUGAAAACACUCGUUGGCAUAUGAAAAAGAAGGUUGCUAGAGCAAGUAUUUUUGUUUUACAACAUUGGAGCGGAGUCGACGGGCCACUCGUUGACUGCUUCACAGGCAGACACUGUGACGAGCGCGGGGUCUAGUCGACUCCUCGGGGGCCUGUUACGGCACACCCCCUCCCAUACUCGCCCCUCUCGAAAUUUAUUUACCCCUGUCACAGUUACCACAAGAUCUCCACGACAAAUAAUGGAAUUCACCGUAGCAAAAAGUCUCUACUCCCAGAGCGACAUUGACUGCCUCCUCUGUUCUGAUCCAACUAGAGUAGCAUGAAGUCAACUCUGGCCCCAAACGGCGAAUACUGAAUCAACAGAUACAACAUAGUCUAAGCCUAUAGAUAUUUCCUGUGUCUCAAUCGCCUGAGACCACCCACAUCAGAGCAUCUCUCUUCAUCAGCUUUUUCAAUUUUUCUCUCCUACAACACAGUCUCAAGAGUGGGUAGUACAUAUUAGGAUCUAGGCCCUUCUAUGAUAAAUGAUCAAUCAUCACCAAUCGAGAAAGAGGAUACAAAAUCAUCACAAGCGAUGCUUUGAAGAUAAGAAAUAACAUGAUAUUUUAAUUUUUCAAGUCAAUGGGAGUUGAUAAAUCGGUGAUCAAGAAUUAAUUAGCUCAGUGAUAAGUUUAGAAUAUAAAUGGUUCGUGAUUUUCAUAUUGAUUCUGACAAUAAUAAGAUUUGACUUUUGUCAUUCAUUCCAUUGAUAUUAUAGAAUGAAAAUUGAUAUACUAGAAGUGAGUCUCAUUUUAUAGAUUGAAUUUGGUUUGGAAAAUUUCUGAUUGAGAGUAGUCUCAUAAAUUAAAAACUUUUGGUACCAAACAAUAAAACCUAUAAUAAUAGAACCUUUCUUCUCCUCAUUCGACCUACGACUCGUCUAUUGUUGUAUCAUGUAACUCCCAUUUCCAUUCAAUUCAUAAUAUUAUUUUCGUUGUUCUUCUGUACUUUUUCAAUAGUUUAUAAUAAUUGAUUGACCAACUUCCACCAGAUAUUCCAUCACAAGCAUUAUUAGGGCAUCAGGAGCAACAUGUUUCAAUAUCUGAUUCGGAGAAUGAGUUCAGAGCAGUCAUGGAAUACACAUAGUCCUGAAGAGAAACCUGUGUACCAUAAUUUGAGAAGCUAAAGAGAAUUCUUAUACAUUAAUGUCUCCUAACGGUUAAUUGCCUUAAGCUAUCAUGUUAUAAAUGAAUAAGUGAGUGAUUUUUUUUAUUUUAUAGAUAUUUUUCCCAUUCUUAAUAACUGUCUGUGACUCCCAGGUCGAUUUCAAAAACAUGGAUUUUUUAGUGAGUGGAAUAGCUGAAUUUUUCCAUAUUAAUACUCAAGUCAGGGUUGAGAACGUAUUUACUGAAGCUGAUUUACUGAUUGUUCCCUUUUCAAAUAUCUGCACAAAAUCCAUAUUAAAAAAGAGCAUGGUUAUGAUGAGUUUCAAUCUGUACUUUUAACCAAAGCCUACAUGAUCAGCAAUGACAAACGAUUUGCAAUGGGAGUAGGGAAGAUAUAUGAAAAGUCAGAGGAAGAAUGCGAGACAAAAAGCUCGCAGAGAGGGAGAUCGUGAGGGGAUGAGUCGUGUAGUAGGAUGUCAUGUAGGGGCGCGCUCAUAUCCAGAGCUCAGACGAAUUCAUUGUCCAACUAUUGUUUAUUUUUUCGUUGAAUAUCAGCACUGGGAUUUACGACUCCCCGAACCAUUGAGAGCUUGCUCAGCAAGUGAGUGCUGCACACACAGGUAAAAUAUUUGAAUAGGGUCCGAAAACAAACCGGCCCUAAAUUCAAAACGACUAUAAAUUCGAAGCCUUCCGUUGCCGUUUGAUGAGCCUUUAUCUGCGACCCUGCCUGACCAUCAGACGGCCGAUUGUUCCAAGACAAAGGCCGGUCAUCAAAAAAUCUAUGACUGCGGUGCCAGUGUCACAGGUCGGGUUAAAUAGUUGAUAGUGCCUCCGGCAGCUCGGCUGCACUGACCAAUGCUCGAGCCCCAGACCCCAGUUCAAUCAAACCGCACCACCCUGCUGCUGACUUCAUUCCAACUCACCACACACCUACAAUGCCAAUUAUUCCCUCUGCAUUAUCACUACUAUUCUAAUGAAUUGCUACUAGUUUCAACUGUGUUUUCCCAUACUGAAGUUUCAGUUUCCAUAGUAAUGACAUCAGUGAUCAUAACUGUGAUCAUGCACUUUAUUAGUGUUACGGCAAGGCAUUUGUUUCACUGUUGAAAAACGUAGAUAAAGUUUACUGGACCCCCUAUUUCAACAUAGGAUAUUUAUUUAUUCAUUUCACAUUCCAUAAUACACAAAACAUAUACAUGAUCAGAAAAGGACCAACAGACCUAGCCCAAAACAUUUCCCUUUCCGAUUUUGAUAGAAGUAGCCUAUGUCAAAAAAGUAGGUUAUGUUGCUUUACUUGAACAAUUCGGAACAAAUUUCGAGUCAGAAAUAUACAAACCAAAAUUUUGGAUUUGAAUGGAUUAAGAACCAAGAAUAAAUGAAAAAUCGUACUCAACCAUAACUCAAAACUUAAAAACAUUGGAUUUUUUGAAAUUUUGAAACCAAAAAUCAAAUACAAACUCACUAUUGGGAUGAAGAGAUUGAUCGUUUACUCCAUUAUUCGGAACUUUAUUCCUGUAGGACGUAGGACUACUAAUUGAUAUAGUUAUACUCUAAAACAAUAAAAUCAUAAUAUCAUGAAUGUAACUAAUUGAAGAUCACUUUUUCAAUCUAAUAUCAUAACGUAUCCUGGAAUUUGAAAAAUUAUUUGAUGAAACAACAAUGCACAUGAAAAUAUUCAAACCGUAAUUUCAGCAAUUUCUUUAUCUUGUUCUAAUCGAUUAGAAUAAGAUAAAAAACGAACUCAGGAUCUCCUUGCCCAUCUACAUACAAGCGUCACUGAAUUUUCCGACUAGGUAUUGAGAAUGAAAAAGCGAGAAAAAGGAGAAGCAAUAUUGGAAAAGGGUAGAAAUUGGCUACUCUGCUGAGAAAACGGGUGAGAGCAGACAAGAGGGAGCUGGCGAGUCGGUCAAGGAGUGAGUGAGUGGCGUAAAACUUCUCAACGAAUCCACUCAAGAAUGUACGGCACGUUGGCUUCGACUUUGCUGGCUCGGAAAUCGAAGCCCCGUCUUCAAUCAUCGCUGCCCGCAAACAAAACAUCUCACUCCCAAUCCAACUGAUGAUAGGCUCUUCAACUUAACUCACUCUGCUUGUCUAUUGAAUCUCUCUUCACCUAAUGAUCAUAAUAAAGUUUACUCAUCCAAUUACAAUUGGAGAAAUCAAUACAGCAUUCAAAAAUAUACUUGAUAACAUUGUAAGGUUUGAUUCUCGACUGCAUGAUUGUCAUUAGAUUACAAAACUACCGCGUUCUUUAAAAAUAAUGGAAAACAAAGAUAGAUAAUAUUUUCCUAUAUUAUAGAAUAUGCGUAUCGUCGAGACUGAUUUGUUAACAAAAGUAGGUCUACCAAUAUAUUUUAGAAGAUAACGGUGAUAUUGUCAAAGACUAUUAUAGAACACUCGUAUUUAUUCAAUAUUAUAGGUAAGAUAGACUUAUCCAACACAUCAUAUAAUCAGUAUAAUACUCAGUUCAAUAUUUUGUAUAAAAAUACAUUGAUGAAAAAUAUAGGCUGAGACUAUUUAAAGCCAUAGACAAGUUGCUAGCUAUACUCAAACAAAAA